AGCUACCAUCUGUCGGAUUAUGGCUGAACGCCUCUAAGCCAGAAGCCCUGCUAGGAACGACGAUGAUGUUCCUUCCCGGCCUCGGAAAAAGAUGCCUAUAGAGGAGAUUGUACUUUUCAUCUGAAAAGAACCAGUCCCUCGUACAUCAAAGUAACGCUCCGCUUACCUUUUUUGGUAAGCGAGACGAAAAAAAAAGCGACCCGCGUGAGUCAAGGGAAAACGCGGUUGCCAUAUAUUUUGGCUCUUUGUACCCUGAAGAUCCUACGAACGGGCCGGGAAAGGCAAGAUCCCAUGUAGACGACUUGGAAAUGAGGGCCCGGGUAUUGUAAGGAGUAGAGUAGCCAGAGUUUGCUACGAUUUUCUGAGAUUUACCCCGAUG
rnacentral:rRNA from 1 species